ensembl:lncRNA
GCGCAGCUCCCCGGGCGGUGGGCUCGGCCCCGAGCCGCUGGAGCUCGGGGGACACCGCUCGUACACGGGUGUGGGUUUGGGCGCUGCUGUGUGGCGGCGGGGUUUGGGCUCGGCGGGCCUUCCGUCUGGGCCGCCCUGUGGUUCUGAGUUCAAAUACUUAGGAAGGAUGGGAUAGAGCAAGCCAUUUUCACUUGACAACUAAUUCUUCAGUGCACUGUGCACUUCAAGGCUUUGGGCCAGUAAUGAAGAAAAAAUGAACAACCUGCAAGAAGGAAGGUUUUCUUUCCUAGCUGUGUGCAGGCAGACCCUAAAAAUAGAAGCAGAACUGUGGACCUGAUACGUGCAGCAGGUGAGGUCGUCAGGAGACAGAAUGACUCUUACUGAGCCCGUCUUGAAGACAGUCACUGCUGUAGAAGAGCACUGAAGCACAGUAGUUUGCGUAGCGCUGGAUUUCCAACUUUGCCUUCGUAUGGCAUAGAAAAAGUAAGGUCACUUGAUUGCCUUUGUUUCUUCUGUUUCUUCUCCUUGAAGAAACAGCCCUCCUCAGAGCCUGUAGGUCACACUGUCCAAACUGCCUCCAUCCUGGGAGGGGAAGGGCCGUAGGUCCAUGGUACAGAUGUGUACAGGCUUAUGUUGCUGCUGCAGAGCAGUGUGGGUUGCCUGCGCUAAAUGCAAUGGGAUUUACAUGUGAUGCUCAGGCAGUGGCAGUUUCACACGUGCUCCCCCUCGCACCUAAGCAAAGUGAGUCCUGCCUCGUGAACGAUGAACUGCCUUGCAUCUGGACUCAGUCCAAGCCUUUCACAUCCUCUGAGAACCUCCCGUGUGGUAUAUGCAACAG